GAUGAAGAACGCAGCGAAAUGCGAUAAGUAAUGUGAAUUGCAGAAUUCAGUGAAUCAUCGAAUCUUUGAACGCACAUUGCGCCCGCCAGUAUUCUGGUGGGCAUGCCUGUUCGAGCGUCAUUACAACCCUCAGGCCCCCGGGCCUGGCGUUGGGGAUCGGCGGAGCCCCCCGUGGGCACACGCCGUCCCCCAAAUGCAGUGGCGGUCCCGCCGCAGCUUCCAUCGCGUAGUAGCUAACACCUCGCGACUGGAGAGCGGCGCGGCCACGCCGUAAAACACCCAACUCUUCUGAAGUUGACCUCGAAUCAGGUAGGAAUACCCGCUGAACUUAAGCAUAUCAAUAAGCGGAGGA
rnacentral:misc_RNA from 1 species